CACCUUCCCACAGUCCAGGUUUAUAAUAUCCACCAGACAGGGGUGAUUUUAACUUACUCCUCCAGGGUUGUGUUAUUGCCAAGUGUGGGCAAAAAAAUAACAACUCUGUUGUUGCCUGCCAGGAGAGCUGCUUUUCCCUCAGGAUGCACCAAUGAAGAGGAGAAUCACCUUGGAAAGCCGAGUGCGUCCCUCUGGUUUGCUAAAGGGUGCUCUUAAAUCACAUUCGAGGGAUGCAGCCUCCCAAACUGGUGGAAGAAGAGCACUGAGCUGGAGGAACCCCUCCCAGAAGGACAGGAACUUCUUACACUCCAGGUUUCCCAGCAGAGUUCCCUGGGCCAGCAUAACAUCAAGCACAUACAAAGUGUGAUUGUCUGGGAGGGAAAACUGGCCUCGUCCUUCAGAGAUUGUCAGAGAUGGCGUUUUUCCUGCUUCUGAGAUUCCAGCUCCUCCGUCCACCUUGGACCCCAUUUCCCUGUUGCAUAAAGCCAGGAGGUGGGUGAAGUCUCGUUGUUUGGAGUGGCAUGAGAUGGAGUUUAUUUCCCUGGGGAGGAAGCCAGCAGUGUGCAAGGUGUGCUGGGCAUUGA